AUUGAACGCUGGCGGCAGGCCUAACACAUGCAAGUCGAACGAGUGGCGGACGGGUGAGUAAUGUCUGGGAAACUGCCUGAUGGAGGGGGAUAAAUACUGGAAACGGUAGCUAAUACCGCAUACCAUCAGAUGUGCCCAGAUGGGAUUAUCUAGUUGUUGGGGUAACGGCUCACCAAGGCGACGAGCCCGAGCUGGUCUGAGAGGAUGACCAGCCACACUGGAACUGAGACACGGUCCAGAAUCCUACGGGAGGCAGAAGUGGGGAAUAUUGCACAAUGGGCGCAAGCCUGAUGCAGCCAUGCCGCGUGUAUGAAGAAGGCCUUCGGGUUGUAAAGUACUUUCAGCGGGGAGGCGUUAUCCACAGAAGAAGCACCGGCUAACUCGGUGCCAGCAGCCGCGGUAAUUC
rnacentral:rRNA from 1 species